UUUUGCUACCCAGCAGAGCAGCAGAGCCAAUACAAUUUGCAGGAGAAUUGGGUCUUCCUAGCUUCUGACAGCAUCCAGAGAAGUUUCUGAUUGUGGUUUGCUGAUUCAUCCAGAGGAAACCUGUGGGUUGCAGCCUAUUUCUUCUGACUACAUUGAAGCCAUUUUACAGUCUGAACUAAAAAGAUGUCCAUCUGGGGACAUGAAAGGCCAGUGGAUUGUGCCUUGCCUUAGUUGUUCAGACAACAGGACGUGUGACUGGAGAGAAAUAACCUGGCAGCCCCACAAUUGCCAAUAUGGUGUCCUAACUAAGCCUCAACUCCAGCAGUGCCUGGGAGGAAGGAAGUUGGGUGUCAAUGUCCAGAGAGUUCCUAGAAGCCGUAAUUGAGGAUACGGUCCAUUCAUCCUGGGACCUUAAAUGACCUCCCUGCCCCACCCCUGCACAUAAACCUGACUUGAAUCACCCGGACUAUUUUUCUGAGAGAGUAAUAAACCUUAAUUGGGUUUGAGCUAUUCCAAGUUUUUUGGGCUAUCUGUUACAGUGCU
rnacentral:sRNA from 1 species